CUGCGGAAGGAUCAUUACCGAGUUCAUGCCCUUACGGGUAGAUCUCCCACCCUUUGUAUACUAUACCUUUGUUGCUUUGGCGGGCCGCCUAGCUACUGGCUUCGGCUGGUAUGUGCCCGCCAGAGGACCCAAAACCCUGAAUUAUUAGUGUCGUCUGAGUAAAAUAUUUAAUAUUUAAAACUUUCAACAACGGAUCUCUUGGCUCUGGCAUCGAUGAAGAACGCAGCGAAAUGCGAUAAGUAAUGUGAAUUGCAGAAUUCAGUGAAUCAUCGAAUCUUUGAACGCACAUUGCGCCCCUUGGUAUUCCGAGGGGCAUGCCUAUUCGAGCGUCAUUAUCACCCCUCAAGCCUAGCUUGGUGUUGAGGCCUGCUGUCAAGGCAGCCUCUAAAAUCAGUGGCAGUGCUGUCAGGCUCUAAGCGUAGUAAAUCUAAUCGCUAUAGACACCUGGUGGACACUCGCCAGAACCCCCCCAUUUUUUAAUGAUUGACCUCGGAUUAGGUAGGGAUACCCGCUGAACUUAAGCAUAUA
rnacentral:rRNA from 1 species